rnacentral:rRNA from 1 species
AACGCUAGCUACAGGCUUAACACAUGCAAGUCGAGGGGCAGCAUGGUCUUAGCUUGCUAAGGCCGAUGGCGACCGGCGCACGGGUGAGUAACACGUAUCCAACCUGCCGUCUACUCUUGGACAGCCUUCUGAAAGGAAGAUUAAUACAAGAUGGCAUCAUGAGUCCGCAUGUUCACAUGAUUAAAGGUAUUCCGGUAGACGAUGGGGAUGCGUUCCAUUAGAUAGUAGGCGGGGUAACGGCCCACCUAGUCUUCGAUGGAUAGGGGUUCUGAGAGGAAGGUCCCCCACAUUGGGACUGAGACACGGUCCAAACUCCUACGGGAGGCAGCAGUGAGGAAUAUUGGUCAAUGGGCGAGAGCCUGAACCAGCCAAGUAGCGUGAAGGAUGACUGCCCUAUGGGUUGUAAACUUCUUUUAUAAAGGAAUAAAGUCGGGUAUGCAUACCCGUUUGCAUGUACUUUAUGAAUAAGGAUCGGCUAACUCCGUGCCAGCAGCCGCGGUAAUACGGAGGAUCCGAGCGUUAUCCGGAUUUAUUGGGUUUAAAGGGAGCGUAGAUGGAUGUUUAAGUCAGUUGUGAAAGUUUGCGGCUCAACCGUAAAAUUGCAGUUGAUACUGGAUAUCUUGAGUGCAGUUGAGGCAGGCGGAAUUCGUGGUGUAGCGGUGAAAUGCUUAGAUAUCACGAAGAACUCCGAUUGCGAAGGCAGCCUGCUAAGCUGCAACUGACAUUGAGGCUCGAAAGUGUGGGUAUCAAACAGGAUUAGAUACCCUGGUAGUCCACACGGUAAACGAUGAAUACUCGCUGUUUGCGAUAUACGGCAAGCGGCCAAGCGAAAGCGUUAAGUAUUCCACCUGGGGAGUACGCCGGCAACGGUGAAACUCAAAGGAAUUGACGGGGGCCCGCACAAGCGGAGGAACAUGUGGUUUAAUUCGAUGAUACGCGAGGAACCUUACCCGGGCUUAAAUUGCAGAUGAAUUACGGUGAAAGCCGUAAGCCGCAAGGCAUCUGUGAAGGUGCUGCAUGGUUGUCGUCAGCUCGUGCCGUGAGGUGUCGGCUUAAGUGCCAUAACGAGCGCAACCCUUGUUGUCAGUUACUAACAGGUUCCGCUGAGGACUCUGACAAGACUGCCAUCGUAAGAUGUGAGGAAGGUGGGGAUGACGUCAAAUCAGCACGGCCCUUACGUCCGGGGCUACACACGUGUUACAAUGGGGGGUACAGAGGGCCGCUACCACGCGAGUGGAUGCCAAUCCCAAAAACCUCUCUCAGUUCGGACUGGAGUCUGCAACCCGACUCCACGAAGCUGGAUUCGCUAGUAAUCGCGCAUCAGCCACGGCGCGGUGAAUACGUUCCCGGGCCUUGUACACACCGCCCGUCAGGCCAUGGGAGCCGGGGGUACCUGAAGUGCGUAACCGCGAGGAGCGCCCUAGGGUAAAACUGGUGACUGGGGCUAA